UACCUGCAGCUCGAGUGGUAACCGCUAUUAUUGGGCCUAAAGCGUCCGUAGCCGGUUUGGUAAAUAUCUGGGUAAAUCGUGAGGCUUAACUUCACGAAUUUCGGAUAGACUGCCAGACUUGGGAUCGGGGGAGGUCAGAGGUACUCCAGGGGUAGCGGUGAAAUGUUGUAAUCCUUGGAGGACCACCGGUAGCGAAGGCGUCUGACUAGAACGAGUCCGACGGUGAGGGACGAAGCCCUGGGGCGCAAACCGGAUUAGAUACCCGGGUAGUCCAGGGUGUAAACAAUGUGGGCUUUGUAUUGGAGGUUCCACGUGGGCGUCCAGUGCAGAAGAGAAGUUGUUAAGCCCACCGUCUGGGAAGUACGGUCGCAAGGCUGAAACUUAAAGGAAUUGGCGGGGAGCACAGCAACGGGAGGAGCGUGCGGUUU
rnacentral:rRNA from 1 species